AAGGCGUCGAGGGGGGUAUCUGGGGUCCAUUUUACAGCGCCCAAAUCUCCCCUCCCGCCCGCCCCCGGUCGCCGCCGGGCGGUCCCGCGGACGGACGACGUUUUAAUCUACCCAUUUGGCCACGUCCCCGUUCGAUCUUCGGUCGCGGUCGCCGUCGACGUCGAUAAAGGCGGUUUCGGGGUCCCGGGGAGGACGGGCGGACGAGGGCACGGCGGGCGUCGCGGAUUGCAAGGAGGCGACGAACCCGCGAGAGCGAGUCGGCAAGGCGUGCAUCCGCCCUCUGUGCAAUCAACAAAGAGACACACAGCGGACGAGAAUCUACUCUGUCAAUGGAUGUAGCACAUCACGUAGUAACGGUUGUGGCUUACCCCGAGUUUAGGCCUCUUGCUAUAGGAUACGCUUUGUAGCAUGUAAGAGAAAUACACAUUAACAGAUGACUCACCCGGGUGAGGGGAUGUAAGAAAUGCACGCUCUCACGGGUUGGGCUUACCCGUGUUAUGCGUCUUUUUAUAUGAUAUGCUUUGUAGGCCAGCCGGACCUGCUGCGUGUACGAACGUACGUGUAUAAUGUAUGCGAUGAUUCUACGCUCACCGUCACACGCACAGCUCAGUCGCUUCGUCUUUGAUUCUAUGAUGAUUGCCGUGAUUUAUAUAUAGUUUACGUGAAUAGAGACUAAUGUAUGAUGAACCCAUCGCAUGUACCACCUGUAGCAGCGCCCCAUGGAUGUGUGGCUGAGAUGAAUCCCUCCUACGUACCAUCUCUAUCAGUAUCAGCGCCCCAAGGAAGUGCAAGUAGCAAAACUAAUGUAUGAUGAACCCAUCGCAUGUACCACCUGUAGCAGCGCCCCAUGGAUGUGUGGCUGAGAUGAAUCCCUCCUACGUACCAUCUCUAUCAGUAUCAGCGCCCCAAGGAAGUGCAAGUAGCAAAACUAAUGUAUGAUGAACCCAUCGCAUGUACCACCUGUAGCAGCGCCCCAUGGAUGUGUGGCUGAGAUGAAUCCCUCCCAUGUACCAUCUCUAUCAGUAUCAGCGCCAUCGCAUGUACCACCUGUAGCAGCGCCCCAUGGAUGUGUGGCUGAGAUGAAUCCCUCCUAUGUACCAUCUCUAUCAGUAUCAGCGCCCCAAGGAAGUGCAAGUAGCAAAGUGAGAGCAAUGCAGGUUAUUUUUAAAAAUAUUUAAUUUUUAUUAUGUAUUUAAUGAAUAAUAAUGAUGAUUAGUAGUAAUGAAUUUGUCUUCCACAGCGCAACAAAAUCACUUCAAUCAAUUAUUAGUAAAUAAUAAAUAGAUUUGAGGUAUUUGUUCUGUCAUCAUUAUGUUCCCUUUUAGCUGGACGAUACAAUCUCAUAAAAUGCAAUGAGAGUGCACAUAUAGAGGAUCCUUGAUAACUUUGCAGAAAAAAUAUGAAUGUGGUUUCAUGCAUGGGAGGUUGAUAUGUACAGUCCUAAUUGAAACUUUAAUAAAUGGAUCAUGUUAUUUUAAUAAAGUAUGUUAAGCCAAA